CAGAGCAGCCAUGCUUCACUGCGUUCUCUUCCCUCUUUAUGGUUAAGUGAACCUGCAAACAAUGACAAGGAAAUAUGCACUGAGUCACAUAUUCUAAGAAAUAGACUGUACUCUCCCCUAAUCGAAAUAACGGCACUUUAAUCUUGGAUUUUCCACAUUUUCCCCGGUAGAGCCCCCAUGUGCUUCCUCUGAACCUAUAUCAGCUCCUGCAGUUCUUCCAGGGGGGCCCUGCAGGACCAGGCACUGUAGCCCUUGAAGUAUUGAGACGAGCAGAGCAGGCGAAAGGUGGGAAAAUUGGAAAGAUCGAAUGUCCUUGGGAGUUCACGAAGGUUUGGCAGUGGGAGGACAAAAACAAAGUGAAGCAAAGAGGGAGUGUGGCCCAGACUUUCCCAGCAUCCCCAGGUGGGUUUCAAGUACUGCCUAAUGGGAAGAACCAGACGAGUCGGCUUUCCACCCUGGCUGCAAAAGCCGAUUUAUCUUACCCCAACUAUUGUUCCCAGCUAGAAGCAAAUCUACAAAGUUACAGUUUAUAGAAAGAAUUCUUUGGAAGGAAAACUACUUUGCUAUCUACACAUCUAGAUCCCACAUAUUGGACAGUACAGACCUUUGCCUCAGUCUCAAAUGUACAAGCUAUGAAACAUCCUCAGUGUGAAAUCCUAUUUAUUCUAAAGUAAAAGUAAAAUUUAACAUCUUUUCUGGAUGUUGGUGAACAAUGGGAAAAUCCUGCUUGGAACACAGCAGAAGAUGCCAUAAACUGUAAGAUGAAACCAAAAAUCAGUCAUGUUCAUCAAAGCCUGUUCACAACAUUUAGACAAGAGACUGGCUCUGUGCACAUGUUUAUGAAGAUGUUGGUAAUGACAGCCACUGAAGUCUCUCCUGGGCCUCCACAUUGAGGAAAGAAAGCUUCCCAGCUUCCUUGGUGGGCAAAGCUCUCACCAUUUCAGGAACUCUCUGGAUAAGAGAUCCAGCUGAAUGCAAAUUAAACUUACAGCCAUAGAGAGUACACGGGCCAGGAAGAGUCUCUGUGACAAUUGUGUGGAAAAGUGUCAAAGCAAAUUGACUAUAGCAACCUUCACUUCAAGCAACAACAAAAUAGGAAACAUUGGGAAAUGAUGGAAAGAGGAUUUCCAAAGUUACCACAAUAAUAAAAUGUCAGUUUUCAAAAGUCCUACAAAAAUUGCAAACCAGGAGUGUGGCCCAUGUAAAAAAUAAAAUGACUGACAGAAAUCAAGCUGAGGAAUCCUAGGUAAUGGAUUUACUGGGCUAAGACUUUAAAAACAUUACCCAAAGUUUGCUAAAAUAGAUAAGGAAAAUACUAAGACUACUAUAUAUUAAAUUUGCUAAAAUAGAUAAGGGAAAAUAAAGAUGAAGAACUAAAGGAAAUUUGGACCAUGAAAUAUAAUCAAAAUAAGAAUAUCAUCAAACAAGUAGAAAUUAUUUUUAAAAACAUAACAUUCUGGAUCCAAAAAAUAGAAAAACUACAAUGAAAAAUUCAUUAGUAGGGCUAAAUAACAGUUUUGCAGGAAAUUAAUGAACCUGAAGGUAGGACAGUUGAUAUAAUUGAGUCUAAAGAAUAUAAAAGAAAACAGUGAACAAUAUUUAGAUAUUUAUGGGGCAACAUCAGUAGACCACAAAACAUAUUAUAAGAAUAACAGGAAGAGAAAAAGAAGGAAAGAAGGAAAGAAGGAAAGAAAGAAAGAAAGAAAGAAAGAAAGAAAGAAAGAAAGAAAGAAGGAAGGAAAGAGAAAAGGAAGAAAGAAAGAAAGUGAAAGAGCAUUCAAAUACUUCUCAAAUAUGAAAAGGACAUGAAUCUACAGAUCAGAUAAACUCAGCAAUUCAUAUACACCCAAAAAGUCCCAGAUCAAGACACAUUAAAAAAGCAAAUUGUCAUUAGUGUUAAUCCCCCUCAAAACAUUUUCCUCUCUUAAAUGUGUGGGGGGGGCCUGGAAGUCCUCCUUUGUGAGUAUCCUUACAAGGUGUGGUCAAAUAUAUGAUGAAUGGAUUUGCUAAGUUCUUUCCAUAAAAAGGCAGCCUUGUAAAAAUAUUGCAGCCUGUCCUUACUCACCAGGUCUGGCACUGUGUGACUUGUGGCUCUUUCCCAAAGUCAAAAGGACUAUGCGAGGGAGACAUUUUGAAGUGAUUCAAGGUGUUCAGGCACCGGUACAGUGUAACUACAGGGACAAAUGGGAACUCCCAGAACUGCAUCAGAAAAUGACAAUGAUGACAGGAUAAGUGUUUUAAAAGUCGGGGUCACAUUCUGAGGAGGAUUACUGGAAAUGUGCCUUUUACUGUAAUAAUUUUAAAAAUUAACAUUCGUUUCAUUUUCUCAUCAUGUUGUGAAUGCCAUUUACUUUGAGUUUGUAUUAACCCAAAUCAGUUAAGACUUCCGUAUGUUGUAUGUGAUUUCCAUAGCAGAAAAUACAGCAUCUAUAAAAUAUGCACAAAUGGAAAGGAAGAGAGAAUCAAACAUGUGACUACAAAAACUCACUAAAGACAAGAAGGCUAUUCUGGGGGAAAUUAGAGAGAGAAAAGCUAAAAGACAGAAAACAACAGAGUCCUUUUUCAUUAGCACGAAUUUAACUUGAAUGGAUUAAUACACCCAGUCAGAAGCCAUCAGAUGACAGAUGACAGAACAGGUAAAAACACUACCCAAUUAUCUGCCCUUGUCAAGUAGUUUUAGAUGUGAGGCACAAAUAAUCUGAAAAGAAAAAAAUAUUUCCCAUAAAGAAUAAUCAAAAAAAAUCUUAGUACCUACACUAAUACCAGAAAGAGAGACUUUGAUUCAAAUCCUGUGAUAAGAGACAAAACACAAUAUCAUGGAUGAUAAAAACUCAAUUCACCAAGAAAACACAGCAGCUACCAACAGCUACCACAGACAUAAGUAUCAAAGGGCCGACAUAUAUGUGGCAUCACAGUGAAUUUAAAGGGACAAACAAACAAGGCCACAGUGAUUGAGGCUCCAACAUUCCCAAUCUCAGUAACAGGAAGCAGAAUAAAGUAGAACACAGUGUGAGUUUAGAGAUUUGGACCCCACCGUGUCACUAGUGUAAAAUGAUGCACAUGUAUCACUCCAUGCAGUGAUUUCACACUUCUGUCAAGUAGGACUUUCUCUCGUAUGAACCACGAGGUCAUUCACAAAUAAUUCAGGUGUUGAAUCACUGAAAUAAAAAAAGGUAUAUUUUAUGGUUAUGGAAAACAGAAAAUAGCUAGAACUGUAAAUAAAAAGAUCCUUAAAAAUUUCAAGUAUAUGAAAAUUAAAUGAGCCACAUUUAAAUAAUAAAUUUCUCAAAGGACAGAAAUUUAGAAAUACUUAUGCAAAUGCAAACAGAGCAUGCCAGACCAGGGAAGCAGCAGAAACAGUGGUGACAGGGACAUUUCCAUGGCUGGGACAUCUCUACCUGCAGAGACACAUGCUGCAAAAGGAAACAUUCUCAAAUUGGUAUCGUACUCUAGAACUUCAGGAGACAGGAAAAAGAUAACAUAAGCCAGGAAAAAAAAAUUCAAUACUCCUUACUGAUGUAGAAAAAUUUGACAAAAUCCAACACUACUAAUUAAAACACUUACAAGCAAUGAACAGAAGGACAAUUCCUCAACGCGCACUUCAAAAUGUGCACAUUACAUCAUAUAAAAGGUGGAAAACUUCGACCUGACAUCAUAAACACCGCACGCCUGAUAUUACCACUUCCACGCAGUACCUGGAUGGAAGUUCUGACCAGAGCCAGGGACAGGAGAAGGAAGCAAGGGAACCCAAGCUGGGCCGGAGGAAUUAAAGUUAUCUCUGCUCAUAAAUAGCAUGAGUUUGUAAGAGAAAGCCUGUAGAGAUUUCACAGAAAGCACUGUUGGAAUUUAAUGAACAAAUUUCAUCAAAUGGCUAGAAUGCUAUAUAAAUGAACCUUAAAAUUUUUCAAAUAUAUGGAAAUUAAAUGAAACGCAUUUAAACAAUUCCAUGCAUCAUCUUGCAGGCUGCCUUGGGUCCAGGGUAGGGGAGCACACUGUGCAGGGCUCGGAGGUUCCUGGGCGCCUCCCGUGCUCAGUGCAGGUGACGCUUCUGGUGGGGGGCAGAUGGUGGGCGCCUCCAGUUCAGCUCCUGUCCAGAGUCAGGUCUGUGCGAAGAGACAGCCACUGGAGAUGCUCUGCAUGGGUGCCUCUGCCCCCCUGUUCCUCCCUUCAUGCUCUGCUUCCUGGUUGCACCCCACCAGGCCCAUCCACCGUGAACUUCUGUCUUGGAGUCAGUGAUGGUGGACUCCAAACAGGAGCAAAAAUAAUCCUCUCCUUAGCAAUGAAGGAAUAACAAAGACACAGCUCAUGUCACAGCCACUAGGGAGAAAGGGAGAGGGAAAGAUCUCUGCCACACAGCCCCUCUGAGGGGCUGUGCCCACUCACUUAAAAUUCCCCAGUGGGCUCCACGCUUAAUGUGUGAACGAUUUAAAACAACAGUGAUAUACCUCUCCACACCUGCUUACGAUGAAGACAUGAUUCUUGAAACAAUCUACAUGAAAAACAUGUACAAUGGCUUAGCCACUUUUUAAAAAGUUGCCUUCCUUCCCUAGGUAUCUGAGAGAAAUACAACCAGAGACUUGUAGGGAGAUAUUUUCAUUUAUGGCAUUAUUACUGAUAACAGCCACAUAUUGAAAACAAUGCACACACACCUUCACUGUUGAGAAACAGAAAAAUGCGGUAUAUCCUUAUAAUAAUGGAAUCCUACUCAGCAAUAAAAACCACAAGGUAUUGAUAAAUCACGAAUCCUAAAUGAGCCUCAGAAACAUCAUACUCAAGGAGCCAAGUGAGUGACCAUAUUUUGUGUGUUCCUCUUUAUAUAGAAAGCUCAGGGAUGGUGUAGUAUAAAUCAAUCAUAUAAGCAGAAAGUAAGUUAGCUAUGGCUUUGAGCUGGUGAUGGACAGGGAUUCCCUGCUAAAGGGAAGGAGGUAUCUUCACAAAGACUGGGACGUUCAAAACCAGGUUGUGGUAAUGACUACGCAACUCUAUAAAUUUAUUACAGAAAAGAAAAAAUGCACACACAUUUAGAAAUCCCCAAAAGUUCAUUUUCCUUAUCUCUCUCUCUCUCACUAAAUAAAAUUUUGUCAUCGUG